UACGAAGGGGGCUAGCGUUGCUCGGAAUCACUGGGCGUAAAGCGCACGUAGGCGGACUCUUAAGUCGGUGGUGAAAUCCUGGAGCUCAACUCCAGAACUGCCUUCGAUACUGAGAGUCUCGAGUCCGAGAGAGGUGAGUGGAACUGCGAGUGUAGAGGUGAAAUUCGUAGAUAUUCGCAAGAACACCAGUGGCGACGGCGGCUCACUGGCUCGGUACUGACGCUGAGGUGCGAAAGCGUGGGGAGCAAACAGG
rnacentral:rRNA from 1 species